UACGUAGGUGGCAAGCGUUACUCGGAAUCACUAGGCGUAAAGCGCAGGUAGGCGGUUCGGUAAGUCUCUUGUGAAAGCUCCCGGCUCAACUGGGAGAGGUCAAGGGAAACUGCCGGGCUAGAGUGUGGCAGAGGAAGCUGGAAUUCCCGGUGUAGCGGUGGAAUGCGUAGAGAUCGGGAGGAAUACCUAUGGCGAAAGCAGGCUUCUGGGCCAUCACUGACACUGAUCUGCGAAAGCUAGGGGAGCAAACAGG
rnacentral:rRNA from 1 species